rnacentral:rRNA from 1 species
GACGAACGCUGGCGGCGUGCUUAACACAUGCAAGUCGAACGGGCCCGCUCUCUUUUUUGGGGGUGGGUUGAGUGGCGAACGGGUGAGUAUCACGUGAGUAACCUGCCCCCUGCUCCUGGAUAACUGCUUGAAAGGGCGGCUAAUACGGGGUGUGCCGGCUGGUCCGCAUGGGCCUGGUCGGGAUAGUUUCAUCUUCGGGUGUUUCGGUGGGGGAUGGGCUCGCGGCCUAUCAGCUUGUUGGUGGGGUGAUGGCCCACCAAGGCGGUGACGGGUAGCCGGCAUGAGAGGGUGGGCGGCCACACUGGGACUGAGACACGGCCCAGACUCCUGCGGGAGGCAGCAGUGGGGGGUAUUGCACAAUGGGCGGAAGCCUGAUGCAGCGACGUCGCGUGAGGGAUGGAGGCCUUCGGGUUGUGAACCUCUUUCUCCGGUGGUGAAGGCCCUGUCCGUUGCGGCGGGGUUGACGGUAGCCGGGUAUGAAGCGCCGGCUAACUACGUG